AUUGGUUCUUUUUAGUUCCAGGUCAGUUUGAGUCAAUAAUUCAAGUAUCUGUAAAAUUUACUAUGUAAUUUGGCUACGUAAUGAGUCUAGCUCGGUUCGAGUAUUUAGGACAAAAAUAUCUAAAUAAUCCGAAAAGCCAAAAAAAAAUCAAAACACGAAAAUACCCAAAAUCAAACAAAUACGAGAAAUAACUAAAUAUCUAAAAGACCAAAAUCUUACCCGAGAACCAAAAAUAUCCAAUAUUUUAAAUAUAUUUUUAAAAUUUGAAAUUUUACCCAAAACCUUAAACUGUAACAGAAACCGUGAAUCCAAAAUUUACAAUAAUUUUUUAUUCUCAGAACAUAUAUGAAUUACUCAAAUAUACACAAUAUGAACAAAACAUUCUAGGUACUUUGGAUACCCAGAGUCCAACAGAGACCUGCAUGUCCAAAAAAAUCUAAUAGGUAUUUUUUCCCAAUCCCGAACCUCAACC
rnacentral:lncRNA from 1 species